GAUGAACGCUGGCGGCGUGCCUAAUACAUGCAAGUCGAGCGAACAGACGAGGAGCUUGCUCCUCUGACGUUAGCGGCGGACGGGUGAGUAACACGUGGAUAACCUACCUAUAAGACUGGGAUAACUUCGGGAAACCGGAGCUAAUACCGGAUAAUAUAUUGAACCGCAUGGUUCAAUAGUGAAAGACGGUUUUGCUGUCACUUAUAGAUGGAUCCGCGCCGCAUUAGCUAGUUGGUAAGGUAACGGCUUACCAAGGCGACGAUGCGUAGCCGACCUGAGAGGGUGAUCGGCCACACUGGAACUGAGACACGGUCCAGACGCCUGCGGGAGGCAGCAGUAGGGAAUCUUCCGCAAUGGGCGAAAGCCUGACGGAGCAACGCCGCGUGAGUGAUGAAGGUCUUCGGAUCGUAAAACUCUGUUAUUAGGGAAGAACAAAUGUGUAAGUAACUAUGCACGUCUUGACGGUACCUAAUCAGAAAGCCACGGCUAACUACGUG
rnacentral:rRNA from 1 species